rnacentral:rRNA from 1 species
AGUGAACGCUGGCGGUAGGCCUAACACAUGCAAGUCGAACGGCAGCACAGAGGAGCUUGCUCCUUGGGUGGCGAGUGGCGGACGGGUGAGGAAUACAUCGGAAUCUACUCUGUCGUGGGGGAUAACGUAGGGAAACUUACGCUAAUACCGCAUACGACCUACGGGUGAAAGCAGGGGAUCCUCGGACCUUGCGCGAUUGAAUGAGCCGAUGUCGGAUUAGCUAGUUGGCGGGGUAAAGGCCCACCAAGGCGACGACCCGUAGCGGGUCUGAGAGGAUGAUCAGCCACACUGGAACUGAGCCACGGUCCCGCCUCCUACGGGAGGGCACAGUGGGGAAUAUUGGACAAUGGGCGCAAGCCUGAUCCAGCCAUACCGCGUGGGUGAAGAAGGCCUUCGGGUUGUAAAGCCCUUUUGUUGGGAAAGAAAUCCAUCUGGUUAAUACCCGGGUGGGAUGACGGUACCCAAAGAAUAAGCACCGGCUAACUACGUGCCAGCAGCCGCCGUAA